GUCAGCGGUGAUAGCACGUUGAAUACACUAGUUUUCAAUGGGUCACGAAGGGUAAGCAACGGUCCGCGUGGUUGGUAUCGGGAUGGGUGACCAUAUCGGCAAUCGUGUGCUGCUGGUU
rnacentral:rRNA from 1 species